rnacentral:rRNA from 1 species
CCUACGGGAGGCAGCAGUGGGGAAUAUUGCGCAAUGGGCGAAAGCCUGACGCAGCGACGCCGCGUGAGGGAUGAAGGUCUUCGGAUUGUAAACCUCUUUCAGCAGGGACGAAGCGAAAGUGACGGUACCUGAAGAAGAAGCACCGGCUAACUACGUGCCAGCAGCCGCGGUAAUACGUAGGGUGCAAGCGUUGUCCGGAUUUAUUGGGCGUAAAGAGCUCGUAGGCGGUUAGACACGUCGGAUGUGAAAACUGGGGGCUCAACCCCCAGCCUGCAUUCGAUACGGUCUGACUAGAGUGUGGUAGGGGUAACUGGAAUUCCUGGUGUAGCGGUGAAAUGCGCAGAUAUCAGGAGGAACACCGAUGGCGAAGGCAGGUUACUGGGCCACCACUGACGCUGAGGAGCGAAAGCGUGGGGAGCAAACAGGAUUAGAUACCCUGGUAGUCCACGCCGUAAACGGUGGGCGCUAGAUGUGGGGACCAGUUCCAUGGUUUCUGCGUCGCNGCUACGCAUAGCGCCCGCCGUGGGAGUACGGUCGCGAGACUAAACUACGAAGAAGUAGACGGCGAGAGACGUGACGACGACGACGACGAGGGAGUAGG